rnacentral:rRNA from 1 species
GACGAACGCUGGCGGCGUGCUUAACACAUGCAAGUCGAACGAUGAUGCUCUAGCUUGCUGGGGUGGACUAGUGGCGAACGGGUGAGUAACACGUGAGUAACCUGCCCUCUUCUUUGGGAUAAGUUCGGGAAACUGGGGCUAAUACUGGAUAUUAUGCACUUCUCCCAUGGUGGUUGUGGGAAAGUUCUUCUGGUGGGGGAUGGGGUCGGGGCCUACCAGCUUGUUGGUGGGGUGAUGGCUUACCAAGGUGUCGACGGGUAGCCGGCCUGAGAGGGUGACCGAGAACACGGGGGCUGAGAUACGGCCUAGACUACGACGCGGAGCAGUAGUGGAGAAUAUUGUGCAGUGGGCUCAAGCAUGGUGCAGCGACUGCGGGUGCGAGGUGGCGUGUGUCGUGUUGUAAACCUCGUUCGAUGGGGAACAAGGCUAUAUUGUUGUGUGAUUGAGGGUACCUGGAAAAGAAGCACCGGCUAACUACGUG